AUUGAACGCUGGCGGCAGGCCUAACACAUGCAAGUCGAACGAGUGGCGGACGGGUGAGUACUGUCUGGGAAACUGCCUGAUGGAGGGGGCUAACUACUGGAAACGGUAGCUAAUACCGCAUACCAUCGGAUGUGCCCAGAUGGGAUUAGCUAGUAGGUGGGGUAAAGGCUCACCUAGGCGACGAUCCCUAGCUGGUCUGAGAGGAUGACGAGCAAAACUGGAACGGAGACAAGGUCCAGACUCCUACGGGAGGCAGCAGUGGGGAAGAUGGCAAAAUGGGCGCAAGCCUGAGGCAGCCAUGCCGCGUGUAUGAAGAAGGCCUGCGGGGUGUAAAGUACUUGCAGCGGGGAGGCGUUACCCGCAGAAGAAGCACCGGCGAACUCCGUGCCAGCAGCCGCGGUAAUUC
rnacentral:rRNA from 1 species